rnacentral:lncRNA from 1 species
AUCCAUUGGUUUAUAACAAAUUGAUCUGUUUUUUGUUUUUUUUUGUUUUUUAAUAAUCAAGCCUUUUUUAAUAUUCCACACUACAAAAUAAGUAAUAAAAGUAUGUAUGAUUCGUGCUGAUAUCGGUAUCGGUAAAAGUUGUAUCGGGACAUUCUCAUUAAUUAUAUACAUGUUUUUAACUGUAGUCCGAAUAUGUGACAGCAUUAAAAACCGAUAUGAUCUUCAAUGGUGUGUUAGUAGUUGAAGAUAUUUAAUGUAUCUCAAAUUCUUCUUUGCUCUGUUUGCAGCUUGCACUUGAAAGAACUGAAAGUUGUCUUGCAUCAGUGCCAAAUACCUCAGUGGAGUCUUUUAAAAAGCAAGUCGAGCAAAUUCAGAAAGAGUGGUGUGAUCUGGGAACAAAAAUAUCCAGGGAAAUACCUCAACUGCCUUCUAAUGAGGCCAGUUCCAGGGUUCCUGUCGUCCAGGGAUUCAUGAAAAAAGUGAAAAAAUCUAUUGAUAGGCUUCAGGCUGAAAGUGAAAACUGGCAGGCCCUGUUGAAUAAACAUCGAAGUAAAGCUGAAGAACUGAAAAGGAAGGUGGAGCAGGGUAAGGACUUGGGUGUCCCUCUCGAUCCAACAUUGAUGGCACAGUCCUCGCAGUACCACGUAAUACAAAAUAAACCCGACUACCACCUUGUUUUCUGUCGACAACAGCCAGUGCUUCAAACCAUGGAAAUGACUAUGGAUUUGCAGUCCAGGAUGGUUCGAAAGCUUUUGUCCAUCAAGGAGUAUUCACAGUCAUUAUUGAAAGAGACCAGCAGCCAGUUGGCGGCCGAGGCAGGAUUCCAGGAUAUUUCAUUGGACACACUUAAGAAUCUAAUGAUUGCACCAUUACCCAGCACAACCACAUAGUAACCUGGUUGGAUGACAUUUGAUUUUGUUGCUUAUAUAUGGGACACAUUUUUUGUUCUUCUUUAAAUCUAUAUUCAUUAUUGUGUUUGUGAAAAUACCGAUUUCUUGCCUAUGUUUUUAUCUAAAAAAUAAACUUCAGAUUUGAGGGUUUUUUCCCCUUCCA